ensembl:miRNA eca-mir-9064 eca-mir-9064
GGCCUUUAAGCAGUAAUGGCUUGGAUGACUCAGGCCUACUUUGAAGGUCCAUUGUCCACUGUUUGACUUAGGGGCUGUGGGCCUGGGCUUUCUUGUAGGACCUGCAGGCUUCCCAAAGCGCCUGUUACUGGCUGAAAGG